GAGUCUGCCAAAGAAAACCAAUCAAAUGAUAGCAUGGCGUCAACAUCAACUUUAGCUAGUUUAUCAGCAUGAUACAGUACUGUAUGUAGAUGGUGGAAAUUAAGAGUACUUUACUAAAAUACAACAUAAAGUACAACUUAUUCUUCUUUUAUUAGCUUCCAAAGGCUUCCAUUAGGCAUAUUAGUCUUAAACAAGGCAAAUGAUGUAGUACAGAGUUGCUAGCUGCUAAACCGUAGCGGCUAGUCCUGUAUGCUAACGUCGGCUAGAAUCGGCUGAGCUCGUCGUCCUGAGGAACACGCGUGGACGGGGCAGACUGUUCAGCCCAGAAAAAACCUCCAUAGGAUUAAAGGCCAGAGGAAAUGACCUGCUUACUGAUCACAUCACCCUUCUGACAGACCCGGGAUCAGCCGUCUACUUCAUACAGAGACUGGGCCCACCUGCUGAGACGUCACACAGCUUCCACCAGCUGUCACCGUGGUGAGGAGU
ensembl:lncRNA